AACGAACGCUGGCGGCAGGCUUAACACAUGCAAGUCGAACGCCCCGCAAGGGGAGUGGCAGCCGGGUGGGUAACGCGUGGGAACAUACCCUUUUCUACGGAAUAGCUCUGGGAAACUGGAAUUAAUACCGUAUACGCCCUACGGGGGGAAGAGUUAUCGGGGAAGGAUUGGCCCGCGUUGGAUUAUCUAGUUGGUGGGGUAAAGGCCUACCAAGGCGACGAUCCAUAGCUGGUCUGAGAGGAUGAUCAGCCACAUUGGGACUGAGACACGGCCCAAACUCCUACGGGAGGCAGCAGUGGGGAAUAUUGGAGAAUGGGCGCAAGCCUGAUCCAGCCAUGCCGCGUGAGUGAUGAAGGCCUUAGGGUUGUAAAGCUCUUUCACCGAUGAAGAUAAUGACGGUAGUCGGAGAAGAAGCCCCGGCUAACUUCGUG
rnacentral:rRNA from 1 species